rnacentral:rRNA from 1 species
GAUCAUGGCUCAGGAUGAACGCUGGCGGCGUGCUUAACACAUGCAAGUCGAACGAAGCACAUUGAUUAGAGAUCUUCGGAUCAAAGAGAGAUGUGACUUAGUGGCGGACGGGUGAGUAACGCGUGGGUAACCUGCCUUAUACAGGGGGAUAACAGUCAGAAAUGGCUGCUAAUACCGCAUAAGCGCACAGAGCUGCAUGGCUCAGUGUGAAAAACUCCGGUGG